rnacentral:rRNA from 1 species
GACGAACGCUGGCGGCGUGCUUAACACAUGCAAGUCGAACGGUGAAGCGCUUUCCUUUUUGGUUGGUGUGGAUGAGUGGCGAACGGGUGAGUAACACGUGAGUAACCUGCCCCCUUCUUCUGGAUAACCGCAUGAAAGUGUGGCUAAUACGGGAUAUUCUGCGCCUGCUGCAUGGUGGGUGUGGGAAAGAUUGUGCCUUUGGGUGUUUUCGGUGGGGGAUGGGCUCGCGGCCUAUCAGCUUGUUGGUGGGGUGAUGGCCUACCAAGGCGGUGACGGGUAGCCGGCCUGAGAGGGUGGACGGUCACACUGGGACUGAGACACGGCCCAGACUCCUACGGGAGGCAGCAGUGGGGAAUAUUGCACAAUGGGUGCAAGCCUGAUGCAGCGACGCCGCGUGAGGGAUGGAGGCCUUCGGGUUGUGAACCUCUUUCGCCAGUGAAGCAGGCCUGCUCCUUGUGGGUGGGUUGACGGUAGCUGGAUAAGAAGCGCCGGCUAACUACGUG